GACGCUUGUGCCAGGCCAUGCACGUACGUGCACACGCACACACGCACGCACGCGUACACAAAUAAACACCCCGCAUACCCUCAACAGAGUGUCGGAGCAAGUGAUGUUAGCGAGCAACUACGAAGGCCGUGGCACGGAUGCUACCCCCCAAAACCCUGACGCGUGGACUCUCACGGGCUGAUUCCAAGACGACAGUUUUAUCAGGUAAUGUUAAUUUAAGGUCGUAUUUAUUUCCGUUUCCCACCUCCCACAACCCCCCCACCCCCCAGUGCAAGGCCGUGGAUUUUAUUGAGUGCGAGUGGUUAAAAUGUGCCCCUUGUAUGUUCAUACGCAAUUUAGACAGUGUAUGUGAAUAAAUACAAUGUUGCUUCACCUACAAGUAUUCCCCCUCCUAUAUUGGCAUAUGCACUUCAUGAUAAUUCUGGACACUGUGCCAUUUGGACACUGUAGCCACAAAUAAAUAUCUAAAUAACUGGGAGCCGUGACCUGAAAAAAAAAACGUCAUGCCACACGCGAUAGUGUGCCAUCAUUAGGUGCUGCUUAUAUGAUCUGCCCUCAAAUUUGAUUCCAUGAAGCUGUCGCUCGGAGCAAGGGAAGGCAUUCGCAUGGUACUCUGUAGUUACCUUAAACAAGAGUUAAAAUAAAUGAAAUGUAAUAAACGCACUACAAAACAGUGAACAAAGUUUUCUCCAAAGAAAGUUAAUGUCCGGGCUGGGAAUGUUAUUUCAGGAGCUAGUGCACAGUGCCUGGGGGCGUGCGAAUGAAAAUGAGCGGUUAAAUUUUGGACAGAGUAAAGUUCAUUCAUCUGGUUCCUGCUGUGCUGAGCGUGUCGACUGAGCAGGGAAUCCACACCUGCGUUAAUUUAAACGAAACUCCGAGUGUUAAACUAAUUUGGCCAAUCUCAGACGAGGCAACCCACUUGGCACGCUCGAACACGCUCGGAACGAUAAAAGUAUUCGCGGGAAAAAUAACCCCAAACGUCUCCGGCAGCCAAUGACAUGCCGUGGCUUUGGUAGGUCGCUCUUUGAACAUAUGACGCGUCCACUUUAAUGUGACCGCUCCGUGCGAAUGCGCGCAUCUCUGAUGGAAAAUAAUUAAGUCACCUUGAGUCCACACACGUUUCAAUAAUUCAUACGCAACCUCGAGUCAUUAAGUGUGCAAUGGACACAAAUGUUUUUUUUUUACAGACUGUGUACGCACGGUACCAGUGUAUUUUGACAGCAAAGAGGCGAGCUGCACGGCCAAUGUAGUGGACACGCUCUUUCCCCCUGGUUUUCAUCACUCCUCCUCAUCUCAAGCUAAACACGUACACAUCUGCCAGCGAGACACGUGUGGCCUUCUACAGAGGAAGUAAUAGACAGGCGCUGACAGUCGGGAUUCAAUGAGUGCCCGCGGGGCCGAAGGCCCGAGUGAAGUGACAGGGUGUGCGUACAACAGUCCAUGCAGUGUCUCGUACCUCAACGGCUCUGCCAGCUAAAUUAGUGCCACUUCAAAUAAAACAAUCUUUUCUAUGAAGCUUGCAUUUGUACGCCUAGUUUGGAAAACACGAGUUGUGGUAGUUUGCCCAGAUGUGAUGGUGCCAUUCGAUGGUAAUCAUGAAUCCCGAGGGAUUUCUGCUUGCGGCAUCUGUUAGCAGUUAUGGAAUGUCGCAAUGAUUGAACGGGACUGAAACACAGUUAAAUUCUAUAAAGGAGCUAUGUGCACGAACCAUAGGCGAAAAAUUGAUAAAUCUGAACAAUUUGAACUUGCAAUAUCAUGUUAAUGUGCAAUUUAUAUUUUUGAAGUGAUGCGGUAUUGAAUAUUUGUUUUUCUGUUAAAUGUUGUAUCAUUUACGGUGCCUUAUCCUGGCAUUGAGCUCAGACAGAAUUUUAAUAACACAAAAGACGGAAUGCGCAUUACAAAUGUCCACGAAGCUCACUUUCAUAUAAUUCAAUUUUCCUAUUAUUGCAUGAAACAUGUUUAUCACAUUCAUGGCGUGCGUGUCCUCCACUCAAUCGGAUUACAUUCUGAAGACAAUGGCUCCUUCACCUUGGGUAGCUGGCAGCUUGGUGCACGAUUGUUAACCAAAUGCAGUGAAGCACACACCAUAUGCCAAGCCCAGAGCCAUUUGGGACAUUAAACAUGAACCAUACAUAUUAAAAAAAAAAAUUAAAACCCAACAAAUAUUCCGGUUGCCUGCACGGUAAAUUUUGAACAUUAAGUGUGUUAUGUGACCUGUGUGUUGCAGUGUCCUUCUCACUGUGUAACCUCCAAGGUGUGACGUCGCUUAAAGUGGCAGCACGAAGACGGGGCAGGAAGGUCGACUUACUUUCAAAGGCUUUAUCAAGUAUUAAGGAAUCAAGGAAACAAAAUAGAUCGUUUUACGUACGUUGAACUUCUUUUGCGUCGUACGUUGCGAACCAUGCUAAUCGGAGGUGCGGGGGAAGGACAAACUAAACAAGCAGUUCUCAAGAAAUUCAUUUUCAAAUGUAUUUCUAACAAAAAAAAACACGUGCGAUAUUUUCACCUACCCUAUCUCCCAAUAUAUCAUGUUACUUUUACAAGGCUGCAAAUAUAUAGCUUGACAACCAAGCAAAGGAACCAAGUAUUCACUGACAUCAGUACUAUACAUAAACAACUUGUGAAGAGUAUUGUACCAUGUCUAAGUCUAUAAUUAUCCACAUUUUGCCUUUGUUUUUUAACGUCUCCAUUUGGCACUGAAUCUGAUGCACUUACACCCAAGUCUUCAAUUAUAUGAUCCUUAUGGUGGUUCCCCGGGGUUCUAAAUAAAACUAAAUGGCAGAAGGAUUUUUUUUGUUCCUGGGUAGUGUUAUUUCCCAAUUGCUUAUGCCUCAAAAGUACAGAAAAUGGCUAUUAUUCCCCACAAACUUUGCUUUUGUGACCAGGACAGUGAUAUUUUGAAAUGUACAUAUUUUCAAUGAGAAAACGUGGUGUGCAUUUGUGUCAUUCCUUCACUAAAGUCCUGGUGACAAAAGCAAAGUUUGUGGAGAAUAAUAAUAACCAUUUUCUACACUUUUGAGGCAAAAGUAAUAAGAAAAUAACACUCGCUACCCAGGAACAAAAGUCGUGUUCCAUAGUGAUAUUUUAUUUCUGGGACACUAUUUUUUCCAGGGGUGUACUUAACUACGUGACUGGGGUACGAAUCAAUCCAAAAUCGGUGCUACACUCCGCGAUGUUGAAACUCAGCGAGGACGAUUGCGCUGAAACCCUGAACGCUCGUGCGCACCGUAGCGGUGCAUCGUGAGUACAGCUCGUCGAGAUGAGUCGAUUGCCGAAUCGCUGGCCAUCAACAGACUAAAAAUGACUGCAUCACGGACAUUGUGUGAGAGCCGGGGUAGCUAUGGUACCCCGGGGUACUGCCAUCAGGUUCAUGUCCAAUACACUUUUGUAUCGCAUUUCGUCUCAACCAUUCUAAUGCACUGCUGCGGUCUAGCCCAAGGGGACAACUCCCAGUGGCAAGAUGCCCCUCUGCAGCACAAGGUGUAAGCAGCACAGGCCAAAGCAUGGGCAUUAGUCUACCAGUAGGGGACAAGGCUGCCAUAGAUUAUCCAAUUACGUACGUACAUCUUUGAGUAAGUAAUCAAAUUUGGACGACACCGCUACAUAUGGGCCUAUUCUUUUUCGAUAUAACGUACGAGGAUCCGUAACGUCUGCUGUGAAGCAGACAUGUAUUUUAUGAUUUAUAACACCUGCGGUAUUAUUAACCAGGGUGGCCACUGGUCUCGAACCAAUAACCACGCCAAGCGCAUUGCUGAAGAUGUAACCCAAGAAAGUUAUAACAGUAAUUUUGCCAAGGGUGUAUGCGUUUUUGAGCCGUUCAACACACGAUUGUCUCUUUGCUCGUGAGAUAUGGAAGAACAUACAGUGAUAACACAUCUUACAGUGAGGG